ensembl:lncRNA
UGUGGAAUGGCUAACUCAGGUUACUUAAAAUAUACAUCACCUUUCCAUUUUUCUAAUAACAUCUAAUCCACUGAUUAAGAAUCAACAAAAAUUCCGUGAGAUUAUGCCCUUUCCUUCGCCUUCUAAUUGCUUGCAAAGUUGGGGGGGGUGGGGAACAGUCCUUACUGUCCUUCCCAAAAAUAUGCUCAAGUCUGCCAAUUCUAACAUCCUGCCAGCAACCCUCGCGAGACCAACUGACACGGGUCUCUGGAAGGAGUCGGACCUUGGAAGAGCGUGAAGGCGCGCGGCAUUCUGGGAACAGUUACGGUGGCCGAAUUGACUUUGUGGCUGUUACCCUGGCAACGGGAGCAAAAGCAGGGAUCGAACUCGGGAAUUUGAGCUUGCCAGGCAGGCGCGGUGCCACGGAGCUAAAUCUCCGACCCGUAGAGGCCUUUCUAAAAGAAGAGCGUCGUAUCCGGAAGUUUUCCAGGAGUGCUCCAUAGCCGGAACAGUGGAUCCAGGAAUCUGGGUCUCGCUCCGUUGUUUCUGGGUCUUGAGAAAGGAAGUGCAGCCCUCUGGCUCCUCACUGUUGCUUCUCUAGUUUUCUAGCUCCUUUUAGAAAAUUGAGUUUGGAUGCAACAUGUCAAGACAAUCCUUUAAGAAGUGUGGCUGUAAAGGAAAAGAGAAAGGUCAGUGCCUGAAGAGAAUGGCAAGUGAAGAAAUUGGAAGAUUUCUUUAUGGAAGAGUGACCUACUGUUUAUUAAUACAACAGAAAAAAAGUUGAUACUUGCGGUGGUUAUUCAUUGUCAACAAAAGAAUUAAAACCCUCAGCAGCAAAAUUCCUCAUUAAAGCAAUCCUGCCCAGCGAGUACUAAGCAGUCAUAAGAUAAUGCACUGUGAGGAAGAAAUAAAUGAUCUUGUCAAGUUGCACCUUUAAUGUACAACUUUAGAUAUGAUGCAGGUGUUCCUGAAAGAUUAACAAGGAAGAAGAUGCCCUGGAAAAUGCAUUUCUGAGACAUCUACAUUUGCUGACUCAGACCCUUUCCUAUUUCCUCAAUAUAAAGACGCCAGCUUCUCCCCGUGACAGAGCAAUUCCUCCCUUGGGAACUUACCCACCAUCCCUCUUGACAUUGUUUUCUGAUCUAAGUAAACUCUUGCCUUUAUUUUUAUUCUAGUCUUGGUAAAUUCUUUUACUGCUCACAUCACCAGUAAUGCUGUCUUGCAGGGCAGUAGUGAGGAAGAGAUUAAAGAUACUGCCAAAAAAGAGGAUAACUGACUGAUUACCUAAAGGAACAGGAGGAGAUGGGAUCCAUAGACCAGGUCCAUAAAUUACCUUAGAUUGAAGAUAGAACCAGGAAAGAGGAUGUCAAAGUCGAUAUAGCCCAUUAAAUACUUGGGGAAUUAUUGUGGGUUACCAUAUCCCAUUCCAUACUUUUCUAAUGACAUUAGGAUAAUGGUAGCCAGCUGUGCAUGUCAGUAGCUGCACCUAAGGGAUACAAGCAGUACUUUUUUUUUUUGGUACCGGGGAUCGAACUCUGGUCCUUGCACUUGUGAGGCAAGCAGUGAAACCACUGAGC